rnacentral:rRNA from 1 species
CCUACGGGUGGCUGCAGUGGGGAAUAUUGCACAAUGGGCGCAAGCCUGAUGCAGCCAUGCCGCGUGUGUGAAGAAGGCCUUCGGGUUGUAAAGCACUUUCAGCGGGGAGGAAGGCGGUGAGGUUAAUAACCUCAUCGAUUGACGUUACCCGCAGAAGAAGCACCGGCUAACUCCGUGCCAGCAGCCGCGGUAAUACGGAGGGUGCAAGCGUUAAUCGGAACUACUGGGCGUAAAGCGCACGCAGGCGGUCUGUCAAGUCGGACGUGAAAUCCCCGGGCUCAACCUGGGAACUGCAUUCGAAACUGGCAGGCUAGAGUCUUGUAGAGGGGGGUAGAAUUCCAGGGGUAGCGGUGAAAUGCGUAGAGAUCUGGAGGAAUACCGGUGGCGAAGGCGGCCCCCUGGACAAAGACUGACGCUCAGGUGCGAAAGCGUGGGGAGCAAACAGGAUUAGAUACCCGUGUAGUUC